rnacentral:rRNA from 1 species
GACGAACGCUGGCGGCGUGCUUAACACAUGCAAGUCGAACGGAAAGGCCCUGCUUUUGUGGGGUGCUCGAGUGGCGAACGGGUGAGUAACACGUGAGUAACCUGCCCUUGACUUUGGGAUAACUUCAGGAAACUGGGGCUAAUACCGGAUAGGAGCUCCUGCUGCAUGGUGGGGGUUGGAAAGUUUCGGCGGUUGGGGAUGGACUCGCGGCUUAUCAGCUUGUUGGUGGGGUAGUGGCGUACCAAGGCUUUGACGGGUAGCCGGCCUGAGAGGGUGACCGGCCACAUUGGGACUGAGAUACGGCCCAGACUCCUACGGGAGGCAGCAGUGGGGAAUAUUGCACAAUGGGCGGAAGCCUGAUGCAGCAACGCCGCGUGCGGGAUGACGGCCUUCGGGUUGUAAACCGCUUUCGCCUGUGACGAAGCGUGAGUGACGGUAAUGGGUAAAGAAGCACCGGCUAACUACGUG